CCCAUGUUCACCGCUAUUUACUAUUUAUAAAGGUUGAUUGUAAAUUGCAAAAUCAUUCACAAAAGUGGACAGUAUUGGUUUCCUACUCAAAACAGGGCCAGGUCUCUAUUUUACCGUUUUGAUCCUUUCAAUUCAAUUCUCAAUUGUCUUCAAUGUGACACAAGUCUCAGAAAAUCAAAUGGGUACAUUAUCUAUGAACAAGAACAACCUAAAUGGAAGCAAGAUUGAAAAGUGGAAGCAAAAAGAGUUGUCUUUUCUUGUGGCAUAUUCAAUUGUUUUCUUUAUCAUCUUCAUCGCCCGUUCCCUUCAACUUUCUCUUGAUCAUUACACCCAACUUUAUGGCUUGCGCCAAGAAUGGCUCAUACCCAAUCACCUUAAUGUAUAUGAUCUUUCUAUCUUGUUAGAAGAAAAGAAUGAUUUUGAUAAAGAAAAGAAGAAUGUAGAAGCAGUUACAAAUUGUUCAACAUUGCAGAGAAAAAAAAAUGGAUGAUUGAAGUGAAUGAGUUCUUGCUUUGCUUUUUGGUUCUUAUUUCAAUGAAGAUGAAAUUAGUUUUGGUCUGUCGUUUUUAGUUCUUUCUGUUUCUUCCCUGAGUCGUUUUGUUCUUUAGAUGUUUCGGGUUAACCAAAGGUUACUAUAAAUAACUGUUUUACCCUCUUUUUCAGUGUUAUUGUUCCUUUAUGUCAAAAAACAAAACCCUAAAACCGUUACAGCGAAGCAGAAAUAACAGAAAUAUGAAUCAAAGUGUAAGAACUAGGGUUAACCCGAAACAUCUAAAGAGGGUAAAACAACUACAACUAUCAUAAUCAAGAUAAUAAAACGUUUUUUUUCUUCUUCUUUGAUUGGCAUGGAGAUGAAAAAUCAACAAGUUCUUUGAGUUUUCAUCAAUGGAGGUUUCUAUUCUUUAACAAUGGUAUCAAGAGCAAACAGUUUCACCUUCACAUCUCUGAUAAACAGAAGCUAUCAGUGAUUCAAAUCACUUCCUCUCUUUCGUCCCUUCUUCCAUUCUUCUUCUUCUUCAAUCGCAUCUCCUCAAUGUCAUCAAGCUCCGCAUCUCUGGAAAUUCUUCAAAUUAAUUCUCUUUGGGUUCUUGCUGUCCAGUUCUCACAUUUUCUUUGAAUUAAAUCAAGUUUCAUUGACUUGCGCAUGACAAGCUUUGGGUUCGAUUAUCAUUGGACAAAUCAAGAUUCUCGUUUUGAUCAUGUUGUUGUGAUGUGAAUUUAAUAAUGCUGGGGGGGCAUAUACCUACUGCAACUUUAUUACUAAAGUAGCUUUUGCUAUUGCCUCAAAGAGUCAAAGGUAUAAUUUUUUGUGAUCAUAAUGCAGAAUGAAGGUUAUAUUUUCCUAACAUUUAGAUAAUGUUGGCUUCAGCGUUUCUGUGAGCAAUUGCAUAAAACUAUCUGACUUGUUUUAUUACGUUACAAUUUUCUGUGUUUCUACAGUUUUCAUUGUGGUUUAGGAACAAGCUUGUUGCAUUAACUUAUAAGCUACUCCUUGUGUUUCUAAAAGUCAGGACUGAAGUUUAUGUGUCACUGCUUUGCUUGAAACAUACCUGCUUGUAGUAUCAAUACCAAUUAUGUUUGUCGUGUGUUGUUAACCUAUUGAUUAAAUUUCCACUGGGAAUCUUUCUUUGUAGAAGUAAGUGUUUUUUGUAUUGAUGUGAUUAUGCUUCGGUGGUUGCUGAAACAUUAUCAAUGUUGUCAUAUUUUUAAAUCAGGAAAGUCUUGCUACCUAAUUGUACAGGUUAGAAUAACUUCUAGUGUAUCAAGCAUGUGGCUAAAUUUAUUUUAGUAUAAAUAUACUUUAAAUAAUUACUGUUCGUGAAUUACAUUGCCAGGAGAGAAGUCUGCAGAGUGACAAGUUCAGAUAUACCACAUACCAUUGUUUUUUGGUGAAUGCUUAUGAGAAUGCAUGAACCAUUGGGGCUAUAUAUUUGCUUUGAUACUAAGAAUUAAGAACUUUCUUGCACUAGUUACAGAAACCAAAAGAUUGUUAUUGUUGUUAGGAAAUUUAAUACAUUGUGCAGCAAUCAUAAAACAUGAAUUUUUUAUACUACAACCUAACUGUUUUAGUUGAACCGUAAUGUUUCUCUUGUUAUUAAUUGAUGUCAAGGGUUUUUGAAUGGUUGUUCAAUUUAUGUUUUAUUUUAUUAAUUCCAAUGCUUUUGCAGCUUGAUGUUCCCCAAAAUACUUAUUCAGUUUGAAAUGUGAUGGGCUAUGUUUUUCGUUGGGCAUUGUGUCUUCUCCUCAUGGAAUUAAUAACACAUGUUUCUAUUAUAAUGCCUUUGCUAUUAGGUCCUAAACUUUACGUGGCUAAAAUUUCUACUGCUCUGGCGCUUUUUCCGUUUCUGGUCA
rnacentral:lncRNA from 1 species